GUACAAGAACAGAAUGGUCAACAAAAUAAAGGCAAGAAGAAUCCGAGCAGAGGGGAGGGUGGGUUAUGUGUACCGAGGCCACUGCAGGAGGGAGGGAGGGCUGCGAGUUGCAAUGCUGCUGAAUAACCACAGUGGCACUCUACGGGGAUUCGUUAGGAAGUUAACCCGGACAGAACCUCAGUGACUAUAUUCCUCGCCCAGGCACAGUUACCUGGAAUGGCUCUCCAUUACAAAGGAGGAGAAAUAAGUGCUCCCUCCCACACAACCCUCAACGCAAAGAAAGCAACAAACAGUAAGAGGCAGCAAUCGGCUCUCGGCAAGUCUUUCUGGCCCAAGAUGACUUUGGGCCACCUUCUUCAGUUUCUUCCCUCCUUCUGCAGAGGACUAAGUGAAUGCUCAUUACGUGAUAAGAUGAGGGAACUGAGGCUCAGAAAGCUAAGGAAACUUGCCAAGAUUACCCAUCUGGUAAGUGGCAGAGUUAGGAUUCAGAUCCAACCAGGCUGGUUCCCAAGACCUUCUCUUAACUACCAUGCUCUGCUACUUGUUCCACAUUAAAAUAAUGGUACAACUACUAAAUCUCAAACUUAAUGAGAGAAAAAAAAAUAAUCAGACCUCAGGUGAAAUACUUGUUUUUAUUUUGUUCCUACUGUUUCAUUACAUACAUACUGUUCCAUAAAGGCAAGGUGUAGUAA